AAAACUGACUAGACCAAACAAACCAACCGCUGUGGCUUCGUCCAAGAGGAGAUCCCACGUAAACGUCGGCCGAAACUGUGCGUUACUGUGGCUGAAGUUUCCUCUCAGAGCUGAAGUCAUCUUGUUUCAGCGAGCAGCAACUCAGAACACCAGCUGUCAGCCCGUAGCCGAAACAAACCGCAAGCCGUCGGCAUUUCCCAUGGUGCACUGCUCAGCAGGUCUCUGUGCAGGUUCCUCACGCUGUUCGGUCGCCGCUUGGCAUGACUGCAGGCCGCAAGCCUCUGGAACAUUGGA